GGAACUUUAAUUAUUAUUAUAAUUGGAUCAAGUGCUUAUGCUAAUAGCACAAACCACAAAACUUUUGUUUAUUCUCUAAAGCAACAAGUGGAUGAUAUACUCGUGAGAGAAAAUCAAGAAGAUCGUCAUAAAAAACUUCAAGAGAUUAUCCGAGAUAAUGUUGACUUAAAAAGGAUAUCACGAUUCGUCAUGGGAAAAUAUUGGGCCCUAACUACGGAAGAAAAAAGACAAGAGUUUAUAAACGAACAUGAAACAUAUUUUACGCGAUUAUGUAUUAAAAUCUUACCUAGUUAUAUAGGCGGUGGUGAAAUGAAGAUAAUGGGUGUCAAAGAAUUUGGUGAUGGAGUUUAUA